GUUCCCUGUCAGGCCUUCACUUGAAGAUGGGUAUGGGUAGAACGGUUAGUUUCUGUUCUAUAGGAAUGCAUUUGAAUAAUUUGUGAAAUGUACAACAGCUUUGUAUUUUGCCUAGUCUAAUUUGGGUUACAAAACUCAAUUUCCUUAUGUCCAUUUGAUUUUUGCAGGAUUAGAGAAUUAUCUUCAACCAUUUUUGUAAGGUCAAAAAUGGUGUGGCUGGAGAGUAGUGGAACUAAGCUUGAUGCCAGGAAUAGGACCCACAGCAUUUGUGAUCAAGAGUGAGUUGGCUGUUCUUCAAGAAAUUUAAUCCAGGUUACAUGAUACAAAUGGCAGUAACUCCUAGGAUGCAUGGCCCCCCUCAAAAUAUUCACUUGAGAGCUGCUUAUUCUGAAGAACUUGCAACCAGUUUAUAUUGCAAAGCACAUCUGGUUAUUGAAUGAACGGGGACGAAAUCUGCAUCAUUAUUACUGCUGUGGUUUACUGUAGGUAUGAACUCGCUGAGUCAAGUCAAGCUUCUGGAUUCCUUCAUAACAAGCACACACAAGCAUCCAAGUAUCUUGAGACAAAGGAACAAGCGAUUUUAAACAUUGCUCUGUUAAGAACUCUCAAGACUAACUCGACAAGACAACUGACAAAGCUACCAUCUCUAAGUUACUUAAACUUUGUUCUGGAUAAUCAGUGAUAAGAGGAUCUAUGAAUACAAGACAAGACAAGACUCAGGGUUUUAGGAACUUUAACCUGUGAAUUGUGUGUGAACCCUUGCCCAGGAAAUGAAACUCCCAAUAGAAAGAUAUGAUUGCACCCUCGGUGCAACAGCUUCAAAACCAAACAAAUCUGCUUAAUGCACCAAGAAGAGAGAUCCAGCACUCCAGAUUAAAGCCACUUUUGUGCCUUUUUCAGAAGGUCCUUAAUUAUUGUUAGUACUUUAAUUACUAAUGUAUGUCAGGCACCAGAAACUUUCCAACCAUUAGACAUAUCUAACUAUUUGGUUAAUAAAAUUAACCCUUAUUCAGGUGUGAGAACACGUGUAAAUAUAUUCUGUUUCUCCUUAAUGUCAAAUGCUACUUUUGCUAUUGACUUAAAAAAAUUUAGAUUUCACCUUGGCUCUGCCUCUUUGUUGCUACCUCGUUAUGUGAUCAAGGUAACAUGAUCUGCAGGUAUGCUUUUUUAUACCAUCCUAGCCUGGAAUCCGUUCACUUUUUCUACAAAGGGCUCUGGUCAGGCGGAGGGCCAAUCUGGAGCAAUUCUCCCAACAGAGGGGUCUGGUGCAAAUGAGGUGGCUGGAUAUGACAACUUUUAUUUACCAAAGGCUCUGGUCCUACCAUUGGAGUCAGGAUGCCUGAAAAAUUAAUUUCAAAAAUUGAAAAGACAGCAAGGCAGUAGGACCGGGUCAUCAAAAGAUUUGAAGAGCAAAUUUAAUAAACUCAAGAGCACUAGGAUUCUACAGUUACUGCUUCCAAAUCAUCCCAUUAGCUGAGCUAACCAAGGAAGGUUGGUAAUGAUCAAAAUAAAGACUUUCCCAAGUAAAAUUUUGCUGGAAAAAUGUUUUAAACCUCAAAUAACAUGAAUAAAUAAAGUAUAGAUGAAAUUUAACAUAACCAAACUAAUGCAAGUAUGUAUUACGCCUCAAGCAUGAAGAAUCAAAAUAACAUGGGUACGUUUCUUGAAUUAAGGCAUAACGAUUCAAAUAACUCCACAUAGUAUUAAGAAUGGCCCAUUGAAAUAUAAAUUCACUAAAUUUAUGUAACUAAUGCACGGUAUGUAUUACACCUCAAGCAUGAGGAAUCAAAAUUCACUUUUUUCAAAUGUUGGCGAUUUGCAUUCCUUAUGACCCUUUGCUUUCCAGUACAGCAUGCUCUUGAUUGUACCCAUGUUCCAAGAAUGUAAUCCGCUGUCACAUAAGAAGUGGGAAUUAUAGAUAACCUUUCCAAUAUUGGCAAAUUCUAGGAAGAGACAAGAACUUUGUAUGUAAACGCCCAGUCGUGUAUGAUUUGUGCAAGCUUACAUUAUGUAGUUACCUUAUAAAAUGGCUACCUAAAAUGCAUAUGUAUAGACAACAAGUAUGCAUGUGUGCGUACUUAGGAGUUAAUAAUGUACAAGUAUAUGUGAAUAGUGUGUAAACCUGUUUGCUUAUGUGAUAAAAACGUGAACAGUGUGCAAUGUUUACAAACGUGUACCGUAUAGGUGCGGGUUGACAUUUGCACACGUUGUAUGUGCAAUAAGUGCAUGCAAUAAGGACUUCGAUACUUCCCACUUGUACGAUAUGUUCUUCGGCCAUGCGCUGCCGAGCAUGCAUCCGUUAUUGGCAAUUCUGUAUACGCUGUUGCGAGUUAGUUGGCUCCCGAGUAUCCUGUAAUAAAGUCCAGUCUCCAGGACGUUGUGUCAUUGCAAACCCAA